rnacentral:rRNA from 1 species
UACGAACCGUCCAAACGUUAUUCGGAAUCACUGGGCUUAAAGGGUGCGUAGGCGGAGAGGCCAGUCAGAGGUGAAAGCCCACGGCUCAACCGUGGAAGUGCCCCUGAAACGGCCUCUCUCGAGGGAGAUAGGGGCGUGCGGAACUCAGAGUGGAGCGGUGAAAUGCGUAGAUAUUCUGAGGAACACCGGUGGCGAAAGCGGCACGCUGGGUCUUUGCUGACGCUGAGGCACGAAAGCUAGGGGAGCAAACGGG